rnacentral:rRNA from 1 species
AACGUAGGAGGCGAGCGUUAUCCGGAUUUACUGGGCGUAAAGCGUGUGCAGGCGGUUGAGAAAGUUGGAUGUGAAAGCUCCUGGCUUAACUGGGAGAGGUCGUUCAAAACUACUUGACUAGAGAGUGGGAGAGGGAGGUGGAAUUCCGGGUGUAGUGGUGAAAUGCGUAGAUAUCCGGAGGAACACCAGUGGCGAAAGCGGCCUCCUGGCCCAUUUCUGACGCUCAUACACGAAAGCUAGGGGAGCGAACGGG